UUUAAAGCAGUGAAGAAGAAUAGUAGAAAUCGCCUUUUUCAGAGAGAGAAUCCGUGGCUGUAAGAUUCUCAACUAGAUUUUGAACCAGCUUCGGAGUUAUAGGUAAAAACUAUCGGUCUAAUACCGUUAUCAUUAUUAAGAGCACAAAUUUAGGUGGUACCGCGAUACAAGUCGCCCUAAUU
rnacentral:ncRNA from 1 species